ACCUUUUCUUCUUCUUACCGACUGUCCCUAGAGCAAGUGGCAAAGGGUUUGAUGGUUGGUAUUCGAGAUCCCAAGUUCGAAUCCUAGUUGAUUCACAUUUUUAGCUAAGUUUAUUUCUAAAUGAAAUAAACGGAGCGGGUAGUGUGCUACCUAUCUCUCAAAAUUUUUUUUUUCUUUUUCUGAUUUGAUUUGUUUUAAUCCGUCAAAAAUUCGUCAACAAUCAAUUUCAGUUCAGUCGCAACUACUAAUCUCCCAAUAGUGAUAAAAAAAUGGAGACAAAAAUAAGAUAAAAUUUAACAAGUUUCAUGUUCAUCCUGUUAGGAUUUGGUUAGAUUUGUAGUUAAAUCCUAUUUGGAUAAGAAUUAAUAUUUAAAUCUGUUUGAAAUAAAUUAAGAUUUAAAUAUUAAUUAGAGGAUAAACCUAACUAGAUUAGGAUUAAUAUUUAAAUCUAUUAGUGAUUGAUUAAGAUAGAUUUAGAUAUUAAUUAAAGUAUGAAUCCUAAAUAUAUUAGGAUUGGGGUACGUUUUAAGUUGAGCAUUAUAAAUAGGCAUUGUGGCUCUCUUUUUUUGAGUGUAGUACGGUUGGAACAUUGGGAUGUCAUACCAGAGAGAGAAAAAGAGAGAGAGAGAGAGAGAGAGUUAUUUUAGUGCACCUUGUGCACGGGUGCACGCGGAGAGGUCUUCUUUGUGGGUUUAUAGAAGACGAGAGAAGGGUAGAAGAGAUUCAAGAAAGAGGGCUCGGGUUGUAGCUACUCUGUGCAGAAGAUGAGUCAGGUGUAAUCUUCUCUUAUUUAAUGAAUCUUAUUUUACCUGCAUAUUUUUCUCUUUUAUGAUUGUAUCAGCUUUUGCUGAGGAGACUGGUUUAUGGUAAAAACCCGAUUUGACGUUUUCGUUGCGGAAUCCCAACAAUCGAUACCGGAUCCACAGCAGUUGGUAUCGGAGCGGGUUGCGAAUUCACGAGAUCCGGUACCGGGGCCAGUACCGGAUUCCCAACAAGUGGUAUCAGAGCCGAAAGUUACCGAUCUGUGGGAGAGAUCGACGGAGAUAGCCACGAAAUUCGAAAUCGAGAAGUUCGAUGGCAAGAACAAUUUCGGAUUAUGGCAAAUUAAAGUACGAGCAAUCCUCGUACAGUAAAAGUUAGAUGAGACGUUGAACGGGAAGGAGGCAAAGCCGGCGGAGGUCACGGAUGCGGCAUGGACGAAGAUGGAGCGGAAGGCGCUGAGUACGCUUUAUCUAUCAUUAGCAGAUGAGGUUCUUUACAAUGUAGCCGGCGAGACGACACCGGCGAAAUUGUGGAAGAAAUUGGAAGAUCUGUACAUGACCAAAUCCCUGACGAACAGAUUAUAUCUGAAGCAGCGACUGUUUACGUUGCGGAUGUAAGAAGCGGCGAGCCUACAUGAUCAUCUAAAUGAGUUCAACAAGGUGGUGGCCCAGUUGACUAGCGUCGGAGUCAAUCUGGAUGACGAGGACAAGGAGACCAUAAGCGUGGAGGCGGUCACGGCGGCGCUUCUCUCGAAUGAGACGCGGAAGAUGAUUCAGCAGUCCAGCACGCAGAGCCGGGAUACUGCUUUGGUAGUGAGAGCGAAGAAGGAAGCGAAAAUAUCGGCGACCGGAGAUAGACAGAAGAAGCCGCUAUCUGAGAUAGAAUGCUUUUACUGUCACAGGAAGAGGCAUAUCAAGCGCAAUUGUCGAAAGCUUCAGGAUGAUCUGAAGGAGUUAAAGCGACAGAGGGAGCAAACUAUCGUGAACCAGGACGAGACGGUAUCAGCGACGGCGCAGACAGCAGAGUUGGAGAUGAUCGAUUCUGAUGUGCUGUAUGCGGCGACCGAAGGUGCGAAAAUUUCGGACGAUGCGUGGGUGCUCGAUUCGGCGUGUUCUUUUCACGUAUGCCCGGAGAAGGAGUCUUUUGCCACCUAUUAGGCGAUCAAAGGUGGAAAAGUGCUGAUGGGGAACGGGACAGCGUGCAAAGUAUUGGGAGUCGGCAUAGUGAAAAUCCGAAUGCACGAUGGGGUCGUGAGGACGCUGACAGGUGUGCGACACGUUCCUGGAUUGAAGCGGAAUUUGAUCUCGUUAGGCGUAUUGGACUCGAAGGGUUGCGAUAUUUCAGCUUCAGGUGGAGCUAAGAGGGUCCGAAAACGAGAUCGGGUCGUAUGCGAGGCGAACAAGCGUGGGAACUUAUACAUUCUGAACGAGAGCACAGCCAGAACGGGAGCGAAGACGGUUUGGGUUCCAAAAGUUCGCGGAUGUGCAGUUGCUCGAGACGGAGCGACGGAUGUGGCGACAUCGAGCGGAGGAGACAAGCUCAAGGUGGAGCUUGCAUGGUGAGCUCGACGUAGCGGUUGAAAAUUACAAAUCAAACCAAGGUGGAGAAUGUUAGGAUUUGGUUAGAUUUGUAGUUAAAUCCUAUUUGGAUAAGGAUUAAUAUUUAAAUCUGUUUGAGAUAAAUUAAGCUUUAAAUAUUAAUUAGAGGAUAAACCUAACUAGAUUAGAAUUAAUAUUUAAUUUAUUAGAGAUUGAUUAAGAUAGAUUUAGAUAUUAAUUAAAGUAUGAAUUCUAAAUAUACUAGGAUUGGGGUACGUUUUAAGUUGAGCUUUAUAAAUAGGCAUUGUGGCUCUCUUUUUUUGAGUGUAGUACGGCUGGAAUCAUUGGGGUGUCGUACCAGAGAGAGUAAAAGAGAGAGAGAGUUAUUUUAGUGCACCUUGUGCAUGGGUGCACAAGGAGAGGUCUUCUUUGUGGGUUUAUAGAAGACGAGAGAAUGGUAGAAGAGAUUCAAGAAAGAGGGCUCGGGUUGUAGCUACUCUGUGCAGAAGAGGAGUCAGGUGUAAUCUUCUCUUAUUUAAUGAAUCUUAUUUUACCUGCAUAUUUUUCUCUUUUAUGAUUGUAUCAGCUUUUGCUGAGGAGACGGGAUUAUGGUAAAAAUCCGAUUUGACGUUUCCGUUGCGGAAUCCCAACAAUCGAUACCGGAUCCACAGCAGUCGGUAUCGGAGCGGGUUGCGGAUUCACGAGAUCCGGUACCGGGGCGAGUACCGGAUUCCCAACACAUCUGGACCCCUCAAAUAUCGAGUUCUUUCUUUUUUAACCCCUCUAU
rnacentral:lncRNA from 1 species